UCCGUUAUGGUGUAGUGGCUAACAUUAUCGCCUCUCAUGAGUGCGCGAUAGCCCAGGGUUCGAUUCCCUGUAACGGAA